UUCCGUACUCCACUCCUUUGAUUGUAGUUGCAUUCGUGGUAUCUCGUGAUAUAUCGUCAUUUAUUUUCUUAUAAUCCUAUUGGAAUUCUUAAAUAGAAAUUUGAUAAUUGAUACUUUGGUUGUAUUCAGUAAUUUAAACUAAUUUCCUUCUAUUAAAAUUGGUACAUAUUCCAUGAUUUGUUCAGCGAGACUCUUGUUAAAUUUGAUUUGUUCGUCUUGUCCCUUGUUUCGAAUUCUGUUAUGAUUUCACAUAAUUGUUUCCUGUGAAAUUCAUACAUUACUUUCAUUUUGGAGUUGAC
rnacentral:lncRNA from 1 species